rnacentral:lncRNA from 1 species
CAGUUCAACAGCAUUCGACUCUCAGGUUUCAGUCUAAUGGCUCAAAGCUGUCACCUCCAAAAUGAGGAACAAGGGCUCACUGCUGCCUCUUCCAGGAUGCCUUCCCUGAUGUUACCUGAACUGGAGACUUGGUAUUUUGGCUUUCGCUAAUGAUGGUAACAAGUUCAGUUAACACAGGUAAACCUGCAGUGCUCCUGCGAUCAAUGGCUUACCAGGCAGAGAGGGAAGAGAUGGUCCCAAAGCUGACAAAGGAGAACCAGGGGCCAGCUCUCAAAACCAGAAAUCAUGCUUGCAAGAGUUGUCUACUAAUCUGA